UACGUAGGGACCGAGCGUUGUCCGGAUUCAUUGGGCGUAAAGAGCUCGUAGGCGGCUGUUCAAGUCGAACGUGAAAACUCGGAGCUCAACUCCGAGCCUGCGUUCGAUACUGGACGGCUAGAGUCUGGUAGGGGGAUCUGGAAUUCCUGGUGUAGCGGUGGAAUGCGCAGAUAUCAGGAGGAACACCGGUGGCGAAGGCGGGUCUCUGGGCCGAAAUUGACGCUGAGACGCGAAAGCGUGGGGAGCAAACAGG
rnacentral:rRNA from 1 species